CCUACGGGUGGCUGCAGUGGGGAAUAUUGGACAAUGGGGGCAACCCUGAUCCAGCCAUGCCGCGUGUGUGAAGAAGGCCCUCGGGUUGUAAAGCACUUUCAGUGAGGAAGAACGCCUGGUGGUUAAUACCCAUCAGGAAAGACAUCACUCACAGAAGAAGCACCGGCUAACUCCGUGCCAGCAGCCGCGGUAAUACGGAGGGUGCUAGCGUUAAUCGGAAUUACUGGGCGUAAAGCGCGCGUAGGUGGCUUGAUAAGCCGGUUGUGAAAGCCCCGGGCUCAACCUGGGACCGGCAUCCGGAACUGUCAAGCUAGAGUGCAGGAGAGGAAGGUAGAAUUCCCGGUGUAGCGGUGAAAUGCGUAGAGAUCGGGAGGAAUACCAGUGGCGAAGGCGGCCUUCUGGACUGACACUGACACUGAGGUGCGAAAGCGUGGGUAGCAAACAGGAUUAGAUACCCUAGUAGUC
rnacentral:rRNA from 1 species